rnacentral:rRNA from 1 species
GCGUGAGCAAUCUACCUCUAAGUUCGGAAUAACCCCGCGAAAGUGGAGCUAAUACCGGAUGUGGUACCUCGUCGCAUGGCGAGGCUAUUAAAGGUGGGGAUCCUUCGGGACCUGCUGCUUGGAGAGGAGCUCGCGUCCCAUCAGCUUGUUGGUAGGGUAACGGCCUACCAAGGCAUACGGGUAAGCCGGCCUGAGAGGGUGACCGGCCACACUGGGACUGAGACACUGCCCAGACUCCUACGGGAGGCUGCAGUCGAGGAUCAUUCGCAAUGCGCGAAAGCGUGACGAUGCGACGCUGCGUGGAGGAUGACGGCCCUAGGGUUGUAAACUCCUGUCAUGAGGGAACAGCCGGCAAAGGGAUAAUACCCCUUCGCUCCGAUGGUACCUCAAGAGGAAGCCACGGCUAACUCUGUGCCAGCAGCCGCGGUAAUACAGAGGUGGCGAGCGUUGUUCGGAUUUACUGGGCGUAAAGGGUGCGUAAGGUGGUUUCGUAUGUCGGAUGUGAAAGCCCGGGGCUCAACCCCGGAACUGCAUUCGAAACUGCGGGACUAGAGUACAGGAUGGGAGAGCGGAAUUCUUGGUGUAGCGGUGAAAUGCGUUGAGAUCAAGAAGAACACCGGCGGCGAAGGCGGCUCUCUGGAAUGUUACUGACACUCAUGCACGAAAGCUGGGGUAGCAAACAGGAUUAGAUACCCUGGUAGUCCCAGCUGUAAACUGUGUGCACUUGGUGUUGGCGGUAUUGACCCCGCCAGUGCCGGAGUUAACGCGUUAAGUGCACCGCCUGAGGAGUACGAUCGCAAGGUUAAAACUCAAAGAAAUUGACGGGGGCCCGCACAAGCGGAGGAGCAUGUGGCUUAAUUCGAUGCAACGCGAAGAACCUUACCUGGGUUUGACAUCGGAGAGGCUUGCCUCUAGCGCGUGAAAGCGCGUUAACCAGACAGGUGCUGCAUGGCUGUCGUCAGUUCGUGCCGUGAGGUGUUGGGUUAAGUCCCGCAACGAACGCAACCCUUAUGUUUAGUUGCCACCCCCGAGCAAUCGGGGCGCACUCUAGACAGACUGCCCGUACAAGCGGAGGGAAGGUGGGGAUGACGUCAAGUCCGUAUGGCCCU